AAUACGACUCUCGGCAACGGAUAUCUCGGCUCUCGCAUCGAUGAAGAACGUAGCAAAAUGCGAUACCUGGUGUGAAUUGCAGAAUCCCGCGAACCAUCGAGUUUUUGAACGCAAGUUGCGCCCGAGGCCUUCUGGUUGAGGGCACGCCUGCCUGGGCGUCACGC
rnacentral:rRNA from 1 species